rfam:Schistosoma mattheei strain Denwood, Zambia genome assembly, scaffold: SMTD_scaffold0004688
AGUGAUGGGUUGCCUCAUUUGUGGAUAAUUCUUUCGCCUUUUACUAAAGAUUUCCGUGUGGAGGCACAAUACGUCGAGGUUUAUCUCAUUUUUUCCAACUCCAUCUUCUCACAACU